rnacentral:rRNA from 1 species
AUUGAACGCUGGCGGCAGGCCUAACACAUGCAAGUCGAGCGGUAGCACAGAGAGCUUGCUCUCGGGUGACGAGCGGCGGACGGGUGAGUAAUGUCUGGGAAACUGCCUGAUGGAGGGGGAUAACUACUGGAAACGGUAGCUAAUACCGCAUAAUGUCGCAAGACCAAAGUGGGGGACCUUCGGGCCUCAUGCCAUCAGAUGUGCCCAGAUGGGAUUAGCUAGUAGGUGGGGUAACGGCUCACCUAGGCGACGAUCCCUAGCUGGUCUGAGAGGAUGACCAGCCACACUGGAACUGAGACACGGUCCAGACUCCUACGGGAGGCAGCAGUGGGGAAUAUUGCACAAUGGGCGCAAGCCUGAUGCAGCCAUGCCGCGUGUGUGAAGAAGGCCUUCGGGUUGUAAAGCACUUUCAGCGGGGAGGAAGGCGGUGAGGUUAAUAACCUCAUCGAUUGACGUUACCCGCAGAAGAAGCACCGGCUAACUCCGUGCCAGCAGCCGCGGUAAUACGGAGGGUGCAAGCGUUAAUCGGAAUUACUGGGCGUAAAGCGCACGCAGGCGGUCUGUCAAGUCGGAUGUGAAAUCCCCGGGCUUAACCUGGGAACUGCAUUCGAAACUGGCAGGCUAGAGUCUUGUAGAGGGGGGUAGAAUUCCAGGUGUAGCGGUGAAAUGCGUAGAGAUCUGGAGGAAUACCGGUGGCGAAGGCGGCCCCCUGGACAAAGACUGACGCUCAGGUGCGAAAGCGUGGGGAGCAAACAGGAUUAGAUACCCUGGUAGUCCACGCCGUAAACGAUGUCGAUUUGGAGGUUGUGCCCUUGAGGCGUGGCUUCCGGAGCUAACGCGUUAAAUCGACCGCCUGGGGAGUACGGCCGCAAGGUUAAAACUCAAAUGAAUUGACGGGGGCCCGCACAAGCGGUGGAGCAUGUGGUUUAAUUCGAUGCAACGCGAAGAACCUUACCUGGUCUUGACAUCCACAGAACUUUCCAGAGAUGGAUUGGUGCCUUCGGGAACUGUGAGACAGGUGCUGCAUGGCUGUCGUCAGCUCGUGUUGUGAAAUGUUGGGUUAAGUCCCGCAACGAGCGCAACCCUUAUCCUUUGUUGCCAGCGGUUAGGCCGGGAACUCAAAGGAGACUGCCAGUGAUAAACUGGAGGAAGGUGGGGAUGACGUCAAGUCAUCAUGGCCCUUACGACCAGGGCUACACACGUGCUACAAUGGCAUAUACAAAGAGAAGCGACCUCGCGAGAGCAAGCGGACCUCAUAAAGUAUGUCGUAGUCCGGAUUGGAGUCUGCAACUCGACUCCAUGAAGUCGGAAUCGCUAGUAAUCGUAGAUCAGAAUGCUACGGUGAAUACGUUCCCGGGCCUUGUACACACCGCCCGUCACACCAUGGGAGUGGGUUGCAAAAGAAGUAGGUAGCUUAACCUUCGGGAGGGCGCUUACCACUUUGUGAUUCAUGACUGGGGUGA